GUCCACGCAGUAAACUAUGAGUGCUAGUUGUCGGGGCUUUGGGCUUCGGUGGCGAAGUUAACACGAUAAGCACUCCGCCUGGGGACUACGGUCGCAAGACUAAAACUCAAAGGAAUUGACGGGGACCCGCACAAGCAGUGGAGCAUGUGGUUUAAUUCGAUGCUACGCGAAAACCUUACCAACCCUUGACAUCUGGAUGACCGGCACAGAGAUGUGCUUUCGGAGCAAUCUGCAUCCAAGACAGGUGUUGCAUGGCUGUCGU
rnacentral:rRNA from 1 species